rnacentral:rRNA from 1 species
UACGUAGGGUGCGAGCGUUGUCCGGAAUUAUUGGGCGUAAAGGGCGCGUAGGCGGUUCGCUAAGUUGGAUGUGAAAACUCUGGGCUCAACCCAGAGCCUGCAUCCAAAACUGGCGGGCUAGAGUUCUGGAGGGGGUAGCGGAAUUCCUGGUGUAGCGGUGAAAUGCGCAGAUAUCAGGAGGAACACCGGUGGCGAAGGCGGGUCUCUGGGCCGAUACUGACGCUGAGGAGCGAAAGCGUGGGGAGCGAACAGG